rnacentral:rRNA from 1 species
UACGUAGGUGGCAAGCGUUGUCCGGGAUUUAUUGGGUUUAAAGGGUGCGUAGGCGGCCUUGUAAGUCAGUGGUGAAAUACUCCAGCUUAACUGGAGGGGUGCCAAUGAUACUGCAGGGCUUGAGUACAGAUGAGGUAGGCGGAAUUGACGGUGUAGCGGUGAAAUGCAUAGAUAUCGUCAAGAACACCGAUAGCGAAGGCAGCUUACUGGGCUGUAACUGACGCUGAGGCACGAAAGUGUGGGGAUCAAACAGG